GGACUACCGGGGUAUCUAAUCCCGUUCGCUCCCCUAGCUUUCGCGUCUCAGUGUCAGUUGGCAGCCAGAAAGUCGCCUUCGCCGCUGGUGUUCCUCCCGAUAUCUACGCAUUUCACUACUACACCGGGAAUUCCACUUUCCUCUCUGCCACUCUAGCCGCGCAGUAUUGAUUGCAGUUUCCCGGUUGAGCCGGGAGAUUUCACAACCAACUUACGCAACCACCUACACGCUCUUUACGCCCAGUAAAUCCGGAUAACGCUUGCCCCCUACGUAUUACCGCGGCUGCUGGCAC
rnacentral:rRNA from 1 species